AUUCUUUCUCAUUUAGUGACAGCAGAUGGUAAACAUGAGGGAUUUUCUAACUGAACAGUUUCUUGGGUUGUGUUAUUUAAUUCAUGCAGGUGACGCACAAACAACAACAACUGAAAACACAAAAUCAGUUACAGCCUUAACAACAACUAAUGAUGCUUCAACAAAACUACAAGUCUAUCGAGUUUGGUGGUGGUAUGUUGCAGUUGCAGCUCUCUUAAUAACUAUUGUUAUUGUUGUUGCUCUCAUCAGAUGGAAGAAAACUAAAGG